rnacentral:rRNA from 1 species
CAUAAACCGGAGGAAGGUGGGGGAUGACGUCAAGUCAGCAUGGCCUUUAUAUCCUGGGCUACGCACACGCUACAAUGGGAAGGGACAAUAGGUUGCGAAACCGCGAGGUGGAGCCAAUCCAGCAAAACUUCCCUCAGUUCAGAUUGCAGGCUGCAACUCGCCUGCAUGAAGUUGGAGUUGCUAGUAAACGCAGGUCAGCCAUACUGCGUUGAAUACGUUCCCGGGGCUU